AUCGAAUGAGGAGACUCAUCGUCAGCGUGAUCGGCUUACAUGCGGUUAACGAUGAAGAAGAAAUUUAUUUCAAAUUCACUGUUUCGCUGUGUCAUGUCUGGUUUCGUCGGCGUGCACUUCUCCUCUAGUAGAACGUCGCGACCCGCUGGGUGUCGGUUU
rnacentral:rRNA from 1 species